UACGAAGGGGGCUAGCGUUGCUCGGAAUCACUGGGCGUAAAGCGCACGUAGGCGGAUUGCUAAGUCAGGGGUGAAAUCCGUGGAGCUCAACUCCAGAACUGCCCUUGAUACUGGCGGUCUCGAGUCCGGGAGAGGUGAGUGGAACUGCGAGUGUAGAGGUGAAAUUCGUAGAUAUUCGCAAGAACACCAGUGGCGAAGGCGGCUCACUGGCCCGGUACUGACGCUGAGGUGCGAAAGCGUGGGGAGCAACAGG
rnacentral:rRNA from 1 species